CAACGAAGAAGGCGACUACCUGCUCAGGAUCUUCACCGAAAAGAAAAACGACACCAGGUAAGUUUUCUCCGUCGUCUUCGAAAGCGGCGGUGACCAACCUUUGGAACCACUAAAUUUAUGAACCGCUAACAAAAAUUUCUUGAAAAAAGAUUGGUGAGACAAUGAUGGAAUACCUCCGUUUUAUUACCAGUUAAUAUAACAAAAUGAUAGGUUUAUAAUUAUUACAAAUACGAAGUAAAUCUUAAUACAAGUAAAUUGUUCCUUAUUAAAGUAUUUUUGUGGCUGCUGGUUCGAAAGAAGAGAAAUUUUAAACUGGCCGGUAAACAGCCAAAAAUUGACUCGUCCCUUAACCUAUCUGGCAGGCGGACCACCAAAAUUUUUUCGCUCUAAACCUAUGGGGAGCGAGUAGCCGCUUCUCUGUUGCCAAGUUUCGGUUGGAAUAGCUACUGUCAGUGGCCUUCUUUCUAUCUCGGGUGACCGAGACGGGCUCGUCUUUACCCGCCAGUCCGGAGGAUACCGGGACAAUCACCGUCCCAUCCGUAGAGUCGAUGGUCCGGCCCGAGUCUGGGCUGGACCAUCCACGGUGUGGACGACCGGUGCGGAGAAACCGCUUAACUAUUCUAGGACAACUCCGGUUGGUAAAUAUGGAUAUGUUCUGACCCAAAGUAUACGGUUUUAUCGUAUGUCAUCGUAUAAAACGAACAGUUAUUUCUUGCCAUCCUUUAUUUGCCGAAUUAUUAACGACCGGUGAAUUUUGUGUGGAAAGUUUUAAACCGAGCAGUAUUUAAAAAAAUAACCGGUGGGCCAUAAAAUAUCUACCCACCAUUCGACUAACAUUAGCGUGGUUUUUUUAGCCAGAAAAGUGUGGCAGCCGUUGGUAGGGGUAAGUAUUUGACCGAAUGGGCGGCUAAAUAUCGGCAUAAAUUAUUAUACCUUAUUAACCAUCUCGACUUUAUUUGACAGCGAAUACGACGAAGAUAUUCAACUGACCCAACCCGAACAGGUAAGUAGUCGGGUUAUCCAUCCUAUCCUAUAGAACUAAGUAUAGGCCAAAGGCGGUAAAAUACGGUUAGUUCCGAGUACUGGCCAGCAAAAUAUGGGAACUAUAGGGAUUUUUCCAGCAAUUUCCUAGUAUUUUGAAUAUUCUUUUUAAUCAUCCGACAGUCGGUAUAAAUGGUCGAAAGCGUUUUUAAUAUUUUUCUGAAAAGGUUCCGAAAUGAGCCGUUACCACUUACAGUUCAAUUUUCCCAAAUGACGACGUUUCCUUUACACCAGCCGCGAUACGUUAUUAAAUAAAAAAGAUAAAAAGUAUUUCCGGUCAUUUUCUGAGUCGGAAGCUAAAAUUUUCAACUAUUCCGCCCGCGCUGGUGGCCGAAAUUCUUUCCAGAUAUCGUGGAGUAUCGGAACCCAGCUAUUUUUCCAAAAAACUGCUCUUAGCCCUCUAGCGGACGUCGGCCAUAAUUUUUACCAAAUAAUUUCGAAUAAGCGAGAUUUUAGCGGAAUCAAAACUCGACGGUGGAAAAUUGUAGACUCCGAUCCGGCUCUAGAAGUUUACUCGGGAUUAACCGUAUUAGCUCUUCUGGACGGAAAGACGCCGAGAAAAUUCUAUUCCACCAUUGCGAAUAAACGGCGGAAGCGGAUUUUUGGACCCAUUAUACAAAUAGGUACGCUAUCGUUCCAUAUAAUAAUCUGUAGGCCGCCAUACGGUGGGUGCCCGGGCCUGGGUGGAUCCAAAUAGUAUAGUACCGCGGCAAUCGGAACUAUACUAUCUGGAACUUUCCGGACGGUAUCGCUAUUAAUUAACGGAUGCCGCCGAAGUAUCGAAAAAUGGGGAUGGACUAGUGAGCGCGGCUUAACCGUAGUUUGGGCUAAUAUUAAAAAUGUUUCCACCUUUUUAAACGGUCCGGACGGGGCACCGGUUCCCGGGCCGUUUUACUACAUUUAGCAAACAAUGGCGGCCAGCCGUCCCUUUACCGCCCCACCCGGGCAUCCCCGGAUUUACACUAUUAAGUUUAGAAAGGAACAUUACGGGUCGGCAACCUACCAUCCGUGGCAACAUUUUUUUUGGUCACCAGACGAGGCCGCUUUCCACUGGUGGCGGGGCCCUUCCAUCCGCCGCCCACCCCGGUGGAGGACGGGAUCGACCCGGCAAAGAAUUAGUUUUUAAAGCAUUAGUUCAGCUCGAUGAGGUGUUUCGUUUUGUAGAAACAUAAUUUUUAUAUAAAUCUGGUGAGAAGAUUUGAUUUAUUUUGAAAUAAAUGUCGCUAUUCUCGAAAUUAAUUUUUACUAGUGGACAUUUUUUUAAUUCUCUCACCCCAAUCCAAAAUGUCAACUCUCGACCUACUAAAGUACCAUCCGCGGUACGAAAAGGUUGCCGACCACCGGUUUAAGUUAUUGGACCAAACCGGAACAAGUUUUCCGAAAAAUCACCCAACCAUCUUUAAUUAGGAAGAAGAGAAAGAGGAAGAAACCUAAGACGGAC
rnacentral:lncRNA from 1 species